rnacentral:rRNA from 1 species
GAUGAACGCUAGCGGGAGGCCUAACACAUGCAAGCCGAGCGGUAUGGGUAGCUUGCUACCCAGAGAGCGGCGUACGGGUGCGUAACACGUGUGCAACCUGCCCCUAUCCGGGGGAUAGCCCUCCGAAAGGAGGAUUAAUACCCCAUAAUAUAUCUGGUGGCAUCACUAGAUAUUGAAAACCCCGGUGGAUAGGGAUGGGCACGCGCAAGAUUAGAUAGUUGGCGGGGUAACGGCCCACCAAGUCGAUGAUCUUUAGGGGUCCUGAGAGGGAGAUCCCCCACACUGGUACUGAGACACGGACCAGACUCCUACGGGAGGCAGCAGUGAGGAAUAGUGGACAAUGGGUGGAAGCCUGAUCCAGCCAUCCCGCGUGAGGGACGACGGCCCUAUGGGUUGUAAACCUCUUUUGUACGGGGAUAAACCUAUCUACGUGUAGAUAGCUGAAGGUACCGUACGAAUAAGCACCGGCUAACUCCGUG